CACGUAGGGGCCAAGCGUUGUCCGGAUUUAUUGGGCGUAAAGAGCUCGUAGGCGGCUCGGUAAGUCGGGUGUGAAACCUCCAGGCUCAACCUGGAGACGCCACCUGAUACUGCUGUGGCUAGAGUCCGGUAGGGGAGCGUGGAAUUCCUGGUGUAGCGGUGAAAUGCGCAGAUAUCAGGAGGAACACCAGCGGCGAAAGGCGGGCGCUCUGGGCCGGAACUGACGCUGAGGAGCGAAAGCGUGGGUAGCAAACAGG
rnacentral:rRNA from 1 species